ACACUUUACCCCUACCUAUAUGUAAAUAUCUACCUCAAUUACAUUGACUCUGUACUGGUACUCUGUGUAUAUAGUCAUGUUAUAAUUGACUCAGUACUGGUACUCUGUGUAUACAGCCAUGUUAUCAUUGACUCAGUACUGGUACUCUGUGUAUAUAGUCAUGUUAUAAUUGACUCAGUACUGGUACCCCGUGUAUAUAGCCAUGUUAUCAUUGACUCAGUACUGGUACUCUGUGUAUACAGCCAUGUUAUCAUUGACUCAGUACUGGUACUCUGUGUAUAUAGUCAUGUUAUAAUUGACUCAGUACUGGUACCCCGUGUAUAUAGCCAUGUUAUCAUUGACUCAGUACUGGUACUCUGUGUAUAUAGUCAUGUUAUCAUUGACUCAGUACUGGUACGCCGUGUAUAUAGCCAUGUUAUCAUUAACUCAGUACUGGUACUCUGUGUAUAUAGUCAUGUUAUCAUUGACUCAGUACUGGUACUCUGUGUAUAUAGUCAUGUUAUCAUUGACUCAGUACUGGUACUCUGUGUAUAUAGUCAUGUUAUAAUUGACUCAGUACUGGUACCCCGUGUAUAUAGCCAUGUUAUCAUUGACUCAAUACUGGUACCCCGUGUAUAUAGCCAUGUUAUCAUUGACUCAGUACUGGUACUCUGUGUAUAUAGUCAUGUUAUCAUUGACUCAGUACUGGUACCCCGUGUAUAUAGUCAUGUUAUCAUUGACUCAGUACUGGUACUCUGUGUAUAUAGUCAUGUUAUCAUUGACUCAGUACUGGUACUCUGUGUAUAUAGUCAUGUUAUCAUUGACUCAGUACUGGUACUCUGUGUAUAUAGCCAUGUUAUCAUUGACUCAGUACUGGUACUCUGUGUAUAUAGUCAUGUUAUCAUUGACUCAGUACUGGUACCCCAUGUAUAUAGUCAUGUUAUCAUUGACUCAGUACUGGUACCCCGUGUAUAUAGGCAUGUUAUCAUUGACUCAGUACUGGUACUCUGUGUAUAUAGUCAUGUUAUCAUUGACUCAGUACUGGUACCCCGUGUAUAUAGCCAUGUUAUCAUUGACUCAGUACUGGUACCCCGUGUAUAUAGCCAUGUUAUCAUUGACUCAGUACUGGUACCCCGUGUAUAUAGCCAUGUUAUCAUUGACUCAGUACUGGUACCCCGUGUAUAUAGCCAUGUUAUCAUUGACUCAGUACUGGUACUCUGUGUAUAUAGUCAUGUUAUCAUUGACUCAGUAUUGGUACUCUGUGUAUAUAGUCAUGUUAUAAUUGACUCAGUACUGGUACCCCGUGUAUAUAGCCAUGUUAUCAUUAACUCAGUACUGGUACUCUGUGUAUAUAGCCAUGUUAUCAUUGACUCAGUACUGGUACCCUGUGUAUAUAGUCAUGUUAUCAUUGACUCAGUACUGGUACCCUGUGUAUAUAGUCAUGUUAUCAUUGACUCAGUACUGGUACCCUGUGUAUAUAGCCAUGUUAUCAUUGACUCAGUACUGGUACUCUGUGUAUAUAGCCAUGUUAUCAUUGACUCAGUACUGGUACUCUGUGUAUACAGCCAUGUUAUCAUUGACUCAGUACUGGUACUCUGUGUAUAUAACCAUGUUGUAAUUGACUCAGUACUGGUACUCUGUGUAUAUAGCCAUGUUAUCAUUGACUCAGUACUGGUACUCUGUGUAUAUAGCCAUGUUAUCAUUGACUCAGUACUGGUACUCUGUGUAUACAGCCAUGUUAUCAUUGACUCAGUACUGGUACUCUGUGUAUACAGCUAA
ensembl:lncRNA